CAGGAUUACAUAGGGCCUGGUAUGUCUCCCAUCUCAGUAGAGAAGUCUUGAAGAAGCCCUUCAAAUUGGUUGCAAUUCAAUUUGAGCACAUGAUGAAUGCUAGCUAAGUGCUGGUAUACAGGCUCAAGGUCACUGAAAAUAGACUUAAUUGAAGAAGUUUUAGCUACCUAGCUAUACCAUUGUCAUCACUGUCACAGCUGACGGGGGAGUUUGAACGCAUUGAAUCUGUAUUUACUAAGAGCACAAACAUAGCCCCAUCCUCACUGUCAUAGGAGUGGUCUGUAAAAGAGGAAGAAGGUGGAAACAGCAACACGAUCAAGGGGACAGAGAAGAAUACAGUUCCAGCAGCUAAAUGUAACUCCUGGGAUUUAGCAGGAGGGUUCCAGCAGCAGCUGGA